UCAACGUCAUUUGCCCAUUCAUCAGCUGCCAAGAAGUAUGGUACAAGCCGACAAAAAAACGACUCUUGCAGCUGCAACUAAAGCAACAUCUUCUGGUUUCAUAGAGUGCAACAGCACAUGAGGUUAAGUUGUGUAUGUACAAAUCGAAACAAUAAUAUCGUGAUUAACAUGCUUAAUCUUCACCUUCUAGAUAUAAAUCGAUGCUUGUAACGCCAAAUAGCUCGUUAAAGAACGGCAAGGACACUGCUGACCGAGUCAUCGACUACUGCGGCCACUUUAGGCUGACGCAGACCAAUAGAUGAUGAAAGUCGACAUUGAAGCAACCUGCUGGAAGGACACAUCCUAAAUGACGGGAAUCAAAAACCAUUGACAGAAAAAAUAGAAGCCGAAUUCCUAAAUACACAAUGCUUAUUGAAUCAAGAACUAACUGGAAUCACUUAGAAGACCAUCGAACACAGGAACUGCCACAAUUUUUAAUCAACGGAUCGAAUUACCAGCAGGAGUUUUAAAUUUAUAAACCAAUCAACUUGCUACAAUUUAAUUGUGCGUCCAUUGACCAGAAGGCUUAUGAUGGCAAGACUACUUCAAACAACAAAUCGAAGCGGUAUUGCAGCAAAUCCUAAAGUGAAGAUGAUUAUAGUCGACGACAUGCUUUACAUCUCAUCCGUUAAUAAUCAAAGUUCGCGGCGCAGCUAGUUUUUAAAUACAUUUGUAAUUAUUUUUCAAAAUUGUAUGUAAUUUAGUAUAAUUUAAUUUUGUUUUUAA